rnacentral:rRNA from 1 species
CCAAUAGCGUAUAUUAAAGUUGUUGCAGUUAAAAAGCUCGUAGUUGAAUUUCGGGAUCAGAUUGUCGGUCGUGCCUCGGUACGCACUGGCAUUAUUGGUUCCUACCUUCUGAAGAACCGCGAUGUCAUUAAUUUGGUGUCGUGGGGAAUCAGGACUGUUACUUUGAAAAAAUUAGAGUGUUUAAAGCAGGCGCACGCUUGAAUACAUUAGCAUGGAAUAAUGAAAUAGGACGUUUGAUUCUACUUUGUUGGUUUCUAGGAUCGACGUAAUGAUUAAUAGGGAUAGUUGGGGGCAUUAGUAUUCAAUUGUCAGAGGUGAAAUUCUUGGAUUUAUUGAAGACUAACUACUGCGAAAGCAUUUGCCAAGGAUGUUUUCAUUAAUCAAGAACGGAAGUUAGGGGAUCGAAGACGAUCAGAUACCGUCGUAGUCUUAACCAUAAACUAUGCCGACUAGGGAUCGGAUGAUGUUAAUUUUUUAAUGACUCAUUCGGCGCCUUACA